GAUGGGAGUUGGCCCCAGGCUGCAGGCUGGCACUGCUCCGUGAUGGCUGAGUGAGCUGCAGCUCAACUCGAAGUGACAACCACGCAGGGAAUGGCACCAAGAGAUGCGCAGGGACAGCUAUUUUUAUGCAGUUCUCAUGGGCAUAGUCAGGCUGAAGUGUUGUUGCCACAAGAAAUAACAGCUGGGUGGACUUCCAGAAGAGCUGUGGGUGCUGCAGAUAGAAGCCAAUAGCUCUCCAGGUGCAGUCUGCAGUCUGAGACCCCUGAGAACCACAUAAGGACAGCCCAGCACCAUGGACCGGGACACCUGACUUACUAAUCUUCUGUGACUUUUGGGAGAGCAACAUGUGCUCGUGGGGCCACGACAGCUGAUUACUCCUGUUAUCAGGAUGAUCUUUAUUCUCAGUAAGGCCUUUGCAGAUGUGUGGUUCCAGCUUAUCGCAUCACUUUGAUAGGAGUCGCACUGUGCUCUUUUGACCCUUUGACCACUGUUCAUUAGAAAUUCAUUGCUAUGCUUCCCUCAAGAAAUGUAUACAUCUCCUCAGACAUGUUUCAACUCCAUAUAACACUAAAAUAUAUUUGAAAUCCCUUUUGCUCAUUCAAAAAAUACUGCAAAACUGUGCUUUUGCAUCGCCUCCCACCCAAGAAUGUCAGAACCCUUUACAGAUAUGAAUCCACACAGGAAAAGGAAAUGUCACAGUCACAAGAUGGGCAAUGAUGGAAAAGGUUUCAGGAACUGCCAUAUCUCACACAGCAGUGCCAUGACGGUAUACAGUACAUACUGCAUUAUAUUCUUUUUGAUGUCUACCCUUUGCCUUAACCACAGCAGCCCACAGGAGCACAUUCCUCUCUCCUUUCUGAGAAUUGAUUUAUCACCAUAAAGAUGGUUUAUUAUACAGCCUCGUGUUGUAAAUCUUUCCUGCUCUAAGGGCUGAUAGAAGUCUGGCACCGUAGUGAGUUCCUGCUAAUUUGCUCUCUGGAUAUCAGGUAUGCUGCUGAUGUGAGAAUGAGCUUCCCGGGAAGUCUCUCUAAACACAGAAAUGUGAGAAUCAAAGAACUUGGUUCUGCUGGGAUUUUUACCAUUAAUCAGGAUUCUGUAUGGUUUCACAAUCCUUUGUUUCCUUCAUCUCAAUUUUAUCCGAAUAUCAAUUUUCAUAGGGAAACAUUUAUUUUUAAAUAAAUAAAUAAGUAAAUAAAACACUACAGAAAACAAAGAACCAAGCAAUUACCAUGAGCCAUUGCCUCGGUAGGACUGGUUGUUCAACACAGUAAUUCAGAGCCAUUGUCCUUUAAAAAUGUGUACAGCUUCAGUUUUAUUAAAUACAAUUUGUCUUAAUGCAAGCAAUAAUCAAGACCGCAUUUAUCUGUGAGAGACAGAGGAGGACUGGGAAGGCAACGAAUGCCAGAUAUCAUGUACGAUUUCUGCAGUCUCAUGAAUUUAUUUAGGGUUUUUGAAAGGAGUAUUUCAAUCACUAUGGGAAUUACUUGCCAGGUGUUGUAAAGUACUUUGCAGUUCUUACAUUGAAAGUCUUCCUGUUCAGAGCAGUGCCAGCAUUCAGAAGUGACAUAGUAAUGUGAAGGAUGACUAUUGGAGGCUCUGUCUGAAUGGCAGUCAUAAAUGUGUUAGCACUAAGUAGUCUG